AGCCAGGGCUACACACAGAAACACUAUCUCAAACAAACAAACAAACAAACAAACAAACACCAGAGAGAGAAUAUGAGUAUUACUCAAAGUCUAAAACUUUAAUCCUAGUGCCUGGUCUGUAGAGAGAAUGGCCACACAGUGGGACAAAGUGUCCAAACCAAACAACCACCAAACCUCAAAAUAAAAACACCAAUCACAAAAUCCAUCUGAAACCAUGAGGUAGGAAAUCUGAUAAGAAUAAGCAAUAAGCUUUUUGAAAACUGCAUAACAUCAUUUAAAUACUCUUCAAAGAGCUAGCUUUGAACACACAGAGAUCCAUUUGCCUUCUGAAUGCUAAGAUUAUAGGCCACUAUCUGGACUUCUCAAGAAAGGUACCCAACACAGGCUUCAAGUCACCAUCCUACAUAAGAAUGAAACAUUUUAAUGGCUCAAGGUUGAAGCCUGUCAUAUUUCUAUUGCUGCAAUGAAACUCCAUGACCAAUAAGUGGGGGAGGAGAGGGUUUAUUUUGGAUUACACUUUCACACUGCUGUUCACCAUUGAGGGAAGUCAGAACAGGUACCAAACUAGGAGAGGAAGAACUCUAGUCCUGGGUCUUACCUCUAAGGCCAGCAACUGUUCCAGUAUUGCUGACACAUGGAGCUACUCCCACUCCCCACCUGCACUUCCUGUGCUCUAAGCACCACUCCUUAUCAGAUGAAGCCCUCAGGUCUAGGGCAGGAGUCAGGCCCCACCAGCCUGAACCCUGGGCAUGUCAGAUGGCACAUGAGCUAAAGGGAAGAGGCUCCUGCUGGAUAAUCUGAGUACCAGAAAUAACUAAAACAAAACAGGUUUUUAAAACCCAUACAUUCAUUAAGAAAAAACCCCCACCAAUUUUGGAGGUUUCAAGGACACCAAACCCUAAUUAUUUCAUAUCAUUAGCUUAAAAAAAAAAAAAAAA
rnacentral:sRNA from 1 species